rnacentral:rRNA from 1 species
ACGGAAGGCAGCAGUGAGGAAUAUUGGUCAAUGGGCGGAAGCCUGAACCAGCCAAGUCGCGUGAAGGAUGAAGGUAUUAUGUAUUGUAAACUUCUUUAGACGUAGAGAAAUAAGGGGAUCGUGAUCCCUGAUGCUAGUAUGCGUAGAAUAAGGAUCGGCUAACUCCGUGCCAGCAGCCGCGGUAAUACGGAAGAUGCGAGCGUUAUCCGGAUUUAUUGGGUUUAAAGGGAGCGUAGGCGGGUCUUUAAGUCAGUGGUCAAAGCGUGUGGCUCAACCAUACCACGCCAUUGAUACUGGAGACCUUGAGUGCACAUAAGGAUGGUGGAAUUCGUCGUGUAGCGGUGAAAUGCUUAGAUAUGACGAAGAACUCCGAUUGCGAAGGCAGCUGUCCGGGGUGUAACUGACGCUAAUGCUCGAAAGUGCGGGUAUCAAACAGGAUUAGAUACCCUGGUA